rnacentral:misc_RNA from 1 species
GCAAACUUGGUCAUUUAGAGGAAGUAAAAGUCGUAACAAGGUUUCCGUAGGUGAACCUGCGGAAGGAUCAUUAGAAAGAUCGACCCGAAAUAUGGACGAUCAAAUCCAUAUCCACCUUGUGUGCACCUAUUGACCGUUCGCUUUGGCAGGAGUCGUCUUCGAUCCGGUCCGGAUCCGAAGCGCGAAGGGGGGAGGUUCCCUCGUCAGGGGGGAUAGCCGUACCCUGGCCUGCCAGAGUUUUUUUUCCCCUUUCAAAGGGAAAGAUCCACACCUCAUUUUUGAACCUUUUGGACUGAACCCUCGUCUCGAUUCUCUGUAAUCGGUCGAAUCAAAUACAACUUUCAACAACGGAUCUCUUGGCUCUCGCAUCGAUGAAGAACGCAGC